UUGGGAUAGGAGAAGCAUUCUGCCCAGAAAUCAGCAGCCCAGCCAUCUGCCCUUCCUGGCUGGCUCUCCCUGGCUGGCACCCUGGGGCCAUGCCCACAACUUCUCCCUACCCUGCCCUCUACCCCGUGGGCAGGUGUGGAGGUGAGUGUAAGGAACACAGACCAGCAUGCAGGCCCUUAGCAAGCGGAGGCCACCACCACCACUGUGACCUAUCGGGGACCACACUGGGGCUGACUGAGAGAGGCUGCAGGAAUGGGGAAAUGGAGAAUCAGAGAGGUGGGCCGAGUCACCCAAGUCACACAGCUGGUAAGAGGAAGAGCCAGGACUUGAACCUGCAUACUCAGGGCCAUGCUGCCAAGCCCUGGGGAAGUGGGCAUGAGGGGGCCCACAGGCAGAUGGUCAGCCUAUGCCUCGAGGUGUCCCCAGGCCUCAUGGCAAAGAGGGUGGUGGGGAGGUGUUUAACUGUGUCACCCCAAAAGAUAAGUUCAAACCCUAACUCCCGGUUCUGUGAAUAUGACCUUAUUUGGAAACAGGCUCUUUGAAGAUGGGACUAGUGAAAAUGAGGUCCAGUUGGAUUAGGGUGGGUCCUAGUCCUCUACAACUGGCGUCCUUAUAAGGGGGGAGGAGACAUGGGGACCCAGCCGGGAGGCUGCACGUGAAGAUGCAGAUAAGAGGCCAGGGGGAGGGGGAGGCAGAGCCUGCAGGGCGGUACCUACGAGCCUCGAGUUUUCCCUACGACAGGGGUGGCCGCUCUACAGGCACGUGUCGGCUCACGGUUUCAGAGGCUGGAAGGCUGCUUCCCUCCGGGCUGGGAUCUUCUGGCUGACUGGCGACCUUUGGGGUUUCUUGGUUUCCUGUCCACGGCAAGGCACGGGGCAGCAUCUUCUGCUUGCUCCUCGGGGUUCCCUUGACACCUGGCCCCUCCCCACGGCUUCUCUCUCCAGAUGCCUUUCCCUCUGCCUGUGAAGGACCCACUCCUGGGCAGCAGGUGUGGCUCAAGUGACUGGGCUCCCGCCUACCAUCCAGGAGGCCCCGGGUUUGAUUCCUGGGGCCUCCUGGUGAAGGCGAGCUGGUCCACGUGGAGAGCUGACACAAGAUGACGCAACAAC
rnacentral:lncRNA from 1 species